rnacentral:tRNA from 1 species
ACCUGGGUGGCUGAGUCUGUUAAGUGUCUGACUUUGACUCAGGUCAUGAUCUCAUGGGCUGUGGGUUCAAGCCCCACAGCAGGCU